AGAUUGAACGCUGGCGGCAUGCCUAACACAUGCAAGUCGAACGGGAGUAGCAAUACUCUAGUGGCGGACGGGUGAGGAAUGCGUAGGAAUUUGCCCUUAAGUGGGGGAUAACCCGGGGAAACCCGGAUUAAUACCGCAUGACCUCGAAAGAGCAAAGUGGGGGAUCGCAAGACCUCACGCUUUUGGAGAAGCCUACGUACGGAUUAGCUAGUUGGUGAGGUAAUGGCUCACCAAGGCGACGAUCCGUAACUGGUCUGAGAGAUGAUCAGUCACACCGGAACUGAGACACGGUCCGGACUCCGUACGGGAGG
rnacentral:rRNA from 1 species